AGCUCCAAUAGCGUAUAUUAAAGUUGUUGCAUUUAAAGAGCUCGUAGUUGUAUCUAUGGUUGAGGUAAGGCUUCCAUCUCUUUUGGGUUUCGGUGUUGCCUGAUGUUGCCAUCCUUGGGUUGAAUCUGUGUGGCAUUAGGUUGCCGUGCAGGGGAUGCCCAUCGUUUACUGUGAAAAAAUUAGAGUGUCCAAAGCAGGCUUAUGCUGUUGAAUAUGUUAGCAUGGAAUAAUAAGAUAGGACCUUGGUACUAUUUUGUUGGUUUGCGCACCGAGGUAAUGAUUAAUAGGGACGGUUGGGGGUAUUUGUAUUCCAUUGUCAGAGGUGAAAUUCUUGGAUUUUUUGAAGACAAACUACUGCGAAAGCAUUUACCAAGGAUGUUUUCA
rnacentral:rRNA from 1 species